CGUAGCGUCCAGGUAUUCAAGAUAUUUAGUCAAUACCCUGAUUUUUCUUAGAAAAAAUAUUAAUACCAAGGUAUUUAGUGAAUACCCUGAUUUUUCUUAGAAAAAAUAUUAAUACCAUGAAAAAUUGUAAGAACUAAAAAAUGCUUUGGGGCUAUUGAUUCUGGUUGAAUUUGUUGCCUUCGAUAUGCUGCAUGUACGAAAUGUAACAAAAUUCAUGGAAACAAUAACGCUGCAAAGAACAGAGAAGCUGGGAGAUCUUUUAAGUUAAUUUUGAAGACUGAGAUACUUCAUGUUGAAUUAAGGUUGAUCAUGAAUACGCAGUGAAUACCCUAGAUGGUACUUCAACCAAUCAAAAUGCUCCUUUCCAGGAAUAAUAUUUACCGUUAACCAGCUAAAACAAUGGUCCUGUAGGCUGAGAAAUAUGCAGCAUACAGCCUUAAAGUUGGUUGUUAAUAAUCUCACUUUGAGAUAGAUAUAAACAGCUAAUGGAUGUUGAAGCGGUUUGAGUGAUGAAGCUUCAUCGAAAACAGUAAAUAUGACUUCUUUCAAAAACUAUUGCAAUGUCCGUAUUACUGUUUCAUAAUCAUUCUCUCAUUUGACCUCUAAUCUACCAACAGCAAAGUGGAAAGAAAAGAUGGUGACGGGCGGCAGCCUUUGAACACCGAAGAUUACCCUUGCGUUCGAUUCACUCUCACCACAACUUUGUGACAAGCAGGAUUCUUUGGUUUGACGGUGGAUUAAGAAACUGUCGUUGAAGGACUGUAUCGAAGAAGAGGGUUGAUUGGUUUAUCAAAUGAAAGACAAUAUUCUUUCGAGGUUUGUGUUCAGCCAAGACUAAAAACCGCGGAGAAAAUAUUACGUAAUGCGGGGGGAGCUAGAAUGGAGAGGGAUAAGACUGCUAAAAAGCCAAAAACAAAGCUAUUCUUGGUAUGAAUUCACUUUUAGAUAAAUUUUGGCAGGGGCGUCGUGGCUCCUGGAAAAGGGCCCGGGGCCCGCUCUUUUGUAUAACAUCUCCAAUCACAAACCAUAGGUCGCAAAAAAUGGUGCAAACCUGGAAACCAUGCACCUAUGAAAAACUAAACAAUUUUUUAUAAUGUUUUAAGGUUCAUCUAACCAAAGCCUCUUUAAGCCUGGAACAAAGCCACUGCUGUAGUGCACACUUGAUACAAACCCGGAUGGGAUGGAGAAUUCAGGUGCACUUUUUGCGACAACGCCCUUCGAAUAAGUUUGAAAUACAUUUCAGAACGUUUCUUGCAGUCAUUUUCUUGCAAUCGUUUACAACGUUUUACGAUUUUUUAAGCACACUUGUUGAGUACGUUACAAUUCAGUGCAUAAAAUAAAUUCCUUACUUUAGGAGGCUCCCUAGACCCUGGGGCACUUUGCUCCUCCUUGUCCCUCUCUCAGCAGCCCACGUGUACUUUUCAAAGAGCCACGUUUGUAUAUGUUGAUCUCUAAGUCUCUAACUCUAAACUAUGAGUAUACAUGUAGGUGAGGUAUUUUUUCACCAAGCAUUUUUUCAUAUAAAAUAUUUUCCAGGGUGUUACAAACUCACUUGAAAAGGGCCCACCGGGAAAUAUCCGGGUGUCCCGUCUAGCCACAGCGCCCCUGCUUUUUGGGAAUCAUUGGAGGGUUAAAAUUCCCUUCGCGGUCAAAAUCAAUUCCACGAUAACUACAGCAAUCCCAACAUUUAAAUUUGUAAAACCUUUUAAGCAAUUUAAUUUAGUGUGUAAAAAGAGAGGAGAUGUUAAAUUCCAGUUUUGAAAGUUAAUUCUAUUUUACUAAACUAUUCCUCCUUUACUAUUGGGUAUGCAGGAAAAGUAAUGAAUAUUGUUCAAGUUAAAGUAAAGUUUAAAAGCUUUAGAACAGUUUUUUCUAGUAACAAAUUUACCCAAACUAUCAAAUGAAGACACCAUAAAAUAGAAGGGGUUUUGUUAUCAGUUAUGAACAUUUCAUUUUUGUGAAAAAUGCGGGUCCCGCGUCUCAUGACCCCCUAGAACCCCUGUAUCAUUGUCUUGAGAUUCAAUUACAUAUGGAUCCAGCGUUGGUCCCACUUUGCCUGGCUAUAAUGUCACAAAAGUAUUUUUGUUUCCACCAAACCCCCUCUAUUUGUAAAUUCCAAUUUUGGAGAAAACAUAGGAGAAAACAAGGCCUCUUUCGACACUCUUACUUGAGGAAGCAAUUGCCCCUCUUGUCCUAACGAAGUUUUCACUUAAGACACCAGAUAAUUGUCUCUUUUUAUAAGCAUAAAAACAGCUUUGAGGGAAAAUGAAGUAUCUGUAAUGGUAUCUACGUUAAGAAAGUUAUCUUUAUUCCUUAUUACCGUUUGACUAAAGUGCAAUCUAAAAUGGUUGGAUUGGGCGACUUUGAUCGCCCAAGAAGUUGAUAUUCACUCCCAGCAUUCACCAGUGUUACCAGCAUUAAAUAAAAGUGUUUUAUAAUAACAAAUACUGGCUGAGAACAACAAGAAACACAAUAACAACGCAGCUCAUUACAAAUUACGAAUAUAUACUGCUAAUGUUAAGAAGAGAAAAACAUGCAAAGAUCCACAUAAUGGCUGUUAUCAAAGAGGAAGAGAGGAGAAAGCGAGCGUUUAUAGAGCCCCUAUUCUAGCAAUAAAGGUGUUUUUGCAAACCCGUGUUUUUGCAAUUUGGAGUACUUGCGACGUAGCUUGCUCUGGAAACAGAGCCAUACCCUUCCUUCGCAGAGCCAUACCCUUCCUUCGCAGAGCCACCUUCCUUCACUGACAUGUUCACAAAUAAAAAAGUCAUGUAGAACAAUCAUUAACAUUAACUAGGUUUGAUUCCAUAAUAAGAUCGCUCUCCAAACCAGGACAAUUUCAGUACCAUACAAUCUCAAAGUUUUCUAGAAAAACCUAUAUAAACUCUAUCGGCAAACCUUCGUGCAGAAGUUUCUUUUAUAUUACAUAUGAAAAAUCCUUACACAUUAACUUGUUGCUGUAUUUUAGUGCGAAGUUUAUUAGUGAAGCUUUUAAUUCCAAAACCUAAUUUUUAAUAAAUCCACACCUUAAUCCCCUUCGAGUUGAUAGGUAAUGAAAACAAAAUAAUUGUAGCAUGAAUUAUCAAGAAAUAAUUGUUUCCGUUUUUUGUGAAAGUUCACAAAUAAUGUUGGUAAAUUAUGAAGAAUCUGUACUUUAUUGGCAUGAAAUCUAAAGAAACGAAAUUACAGGUCAGGUUUGAUGACAUCGAUUUUUUCUUAAUUUGUUGACAAAGAUAGCUUUUUUUACCACAGUACUUAACUUAACUUUUAAAAUUAGCCCGGCGUAGACUAACUCUUAACGGUUUCAUGUCUACAAAUGAGCAGGUAUGCGUUUCAGGCAAACCUGUUAAUUCACGCUUAUCAAAUGUCCGUUAGGAGCCGUAAACUGUGUGCACGAAACAUUUCAACAGCGCUGCAACGGCAGAAAUUUCAACUACCAAAUAAUAAUUUCAAAUUAUUCCAGGCAGGAAGCAGGCCUCUCCCAGUCAGUUUGGAAGGAAAGGUUCAACAUUGUGUUUUAGGCCUCUUGGUUCCUCUAAUCGCCUUAUUCAAUAACACUCUUUUUCGGGGACUUAUGUUGUCAAAAAGAACGCAUAACAAAUGUUGCGUGCGCACGUGUAUGGAGACCCUUAUGUAAACAUCACAAAAUCUGACACAGCUUACGGGAACAUGGGUAUAAUUAAUGGUAACCCAUCUAAGUGGAUUCACGCAUCAAAAAGUAAUUGAACAUAUUUAGUAAACAAAAGAUGAUCAGUAUCGGCGAGGAAAUAUUUCCACUUUUCAUAAGCAUCGUAGUUUUAAACAGGAAUUAUGCGGUUGACAUAAACUAAAACCCGCAUCAUGUUUUCACGACUUGCGGCAGAAAUCCAUUUAAUAGCAUUGUAGUCAACUCCCAAAUAUUGCUAGGGUUUACAACCUAAUCAAAGCGUAUAAUUCUGUUUCAUAAUCUUUCAAAAUCUCUCUCCAUACAGUGAAGAGAAUCACAGUAACGAUCGAUACACGACUUUUUUGGCUAACCAGGCAGAAUUAAGAAAUUCUGUCAUGUGUGUGCAAUACAGAAAUGUUUUGCAAAACGGCAUGUGAGCAGCGAAACUGCAUUCCAUUCCACUGGGAUGGUUUGUGCAACAGCAUAUAAAAUAAGUCUGAUUAAAGUAUAAAUUAUGCGUGAAUAAUUAAGAUGCUUUCACAUUUUGGGCCUUCUGGAGAGUUGAUGGUUAAAUCAGCCUUCGGUUAAAACAUGGAAUGUUGGGCAAUUAUUGACGAAACCUAGCUGCUAAAACUCGGACAAACCUAUAUACCUUUGAACUCUUGAUCUAAACUCGUUAUAUAAGAACAAUUUUAUAAAAGCACAAGCUUUAAAAUUGGUCAAAAGUUGAGCUGAGGCUGAGCUACUAAAAAAUGUAAUUUUGAGCAACGUUUCAUCCAGGAUGUGUGGGUGCUUUUUCGAUGAAUUUUCAAACUUGUCCGCAAAUGAAGUUUGUCUCAGUCACUAUGCUAGUGCAUCUCGAAAUUUCUCGAAACCCAAUUCGAUAAACCCUUUUUCGAAUACUGAUAAUCGCUCACCGAGAAAAUUUUCCAAGUAAGAGAGGUGGAAUAUCAAGCAAAAACUGGUACAACUAAAUAUGACUCGAUGAUAACUUGAAAUAGUUUGUCUACAUACAAUUCCUCAUACUAAAAUAAUGUACAAAGCACAGUUCCUUAGUUAUUCUAGUAAAAAUUUAUUUUCAUUUAUAAGAUACUGUCCUUAAUGCGUAUUAUGAAACGUAAUAUCCUUAGAACAUUUCCGUCAGCCCUGGCAACCUUUCACUGCAUUGGGUUUGAAAGAUUAAAUUAAGGCCCGACUCUCUAUAAUUUAUCAUGGUAGUAUAGAAUGAGGCGUGAAUGCCCGAAAGGGAGGCAUGAAUGCUCGAAAGAGAUUCAAGGGAAUUCUGUCCACUUACUGGGGAAAGAAAGGAUCUUGAAGGGGUAUUAAUGGUAUAAUUUUGAAGAUGUCAAUUUAUUGCUUUCUACUGUGUUGCAAGUGGCGAAUUUGAAUCUAUCUAAUUUACUAUCUAUAUUUAACGUAAAUGGAAUGUUAAUGUUUCAUGUCUGCUUCUUGAAUGUUUGUUUUCGUGUUUAGUUUGAAAUUUGACCUUAAUGACCUGGUUUUCCUGAAGCAAACCUGACAUUCUCAGCACAGCCAAUAUUUGCAAACGAAAUCUUUAAUCGGCUAAAUGGGUGUAUAAAAGAAAAUAGAAAAGCUUUUAAAAAAUAUCAAUGUUAAAACCGUUUGGGUUUGUUAGUUGCUUCGUCCUAUGUAUGCUGGGAGCAAAAGAAAGCUACUAAAUGGUUUGCAAAAACACAAGGACGUAUUAGGAAUACUCGUGUUUGCCUUUCACUAUAGGAACAGGAAAUGUUUAACUAUUUUAGUGUGACAUUACGGGUUUAUAUGAAAUAAAAGCUAUCAGGGGCGAGCUGUGAUUCACAACGUGUAUGAAAUAGAACAUGGUCUAUCAACGUUUUUACAACUUGACAGGAAACAGCCUCAAAAUCUGCUUUAACCUUAUCGAAAAGGGUCCUUUUCGAGGUAGAAGUUGGUAAUGUGCAUUUUGCAGUUACAGCAAUAUGAAUGGAAGAAGUAACAUUUAAACUUGUUAAAUUCAUAUGCAACAGCAACAAACAAAAGUGAUGUCAUGAUGUUAAAUUGCAUCAGGCACAAACACCUAAUUUCAAACCACAGACUUAGUCUAAUUAACAAAUUCAUCUAAGCCUGAUUGAGAAAUCUGGAUUGUGUGUGUGUUUUUAGAUAUUGGCUAUUCUUGGCACCAAAGGACAACAUGCUAGUUUGCUGGAAAGGGUAUGAUUAUGCCAAACGUCAAUCUUACCAGUAUUGAAAUAUUUUAAAUUUUAAAAUCUAACCAUAAAUGGAGAAGCAGAAAUUCUCAAAAUAUACCAAUAACAAAGCAGCAGGUACUCUGUUUUGGCUAUUCUAAGCACAUUCUGGUGGGAAUUUUAUGCAUAUAAAAAUGUGCUAUCAGUGAAAAUAUCAGUUUUAAUAUGAAUUCAUC